ACAUUUUAGCUACGUUGUGAAAGGUCACUUUGUCCUUCAAAAUCUGAGAUACGCUACUUGAAGAGGUCGACAAUGAUACGAUUUUGUGCACUUGUUUUCCUCUCAACAGCAUUAGGUGGCACUUCGAAGAUUGACAUUCUGUGUCUGAAUGGACUGAAGUAUAUUCUUGAAGGGGGAAAUAUUAAACUGACUUGCUUUUUUUCAUCUGCUGAUGCAUCAGCGACUGCAUGGUUCAAACAGACUCCAGGAGAAAAGCCUCUUCUCAUUGCUUCUGUGUUUCGUUCUGCACCAGUUACAUAUCAUAAUGAUUUUUAC